rnacentral:rRNA from 1 species
GACAGAGGAGCCAAGCGUUGUCCGGAUUGACUGGGCGUAAAGCGCACGCAGGCGGCCGUGCACGUGGGGUGUGAAAGCGCUCGGCUUAACUGAGCGAUGCCACCUCAUACGGCAGGGCUCGAGCCCGUGAGAGGUCCACGGAAUUGCCGGUGUAGUGGUGAAAUGCGUAGAGAUCGGCAGGAACGCCCAGGGGGAAACCAGUGGACUGGCACGGUGCUGACGCUCAGGUGCGAAAGCGUGGGGAGCGAACCGG